rnacentral:rRNA from 1 species
UACAGAGGGGGCAAGCGUUGUUCGGAAUUACUGGGCGUAAAGGGCGCGUAGGCGGCCCGCUAAGUCGAACGUGAAAUCCCCCGAGCUCAACUCGGGAACUGCGUCCGAUACUGGCGGGCUUGAAUCCGGGAGAGGGAUGCGGAAUUCCAGGUGUAGCGGUGAAAUGCGUAGAUAUCUGGAGGAACACCGGUGGCGAAGGCGGCAUCCUGGACCGGCAUUGACGCUGAGGCGGCGAAAGCUAGGGGAGCAAACGGGG